rnacentral:rRNA from 1 species
CGCCCACUAGCUAGCCCGUCCUAGCAAAAUCAACAAUCCAAUGUAAAUAACCCCAAACACACAUCACCUUCCACUAAACAAAGCAUUUUUCCCCCUUAGUAUGGGAGACAGAAAAGGAACUAUCGGAGCAAUAGAGAAAGUACCGCAAGGGAACGCUGAAAGAGAAAUGAAACAACCCAGUGAAGCCUAAAAAAGCAGAGAUUUUACCUCGUACCUUUUGCAUCAUGAUUUAGCUAGUACUACCCAAGCAAAGAGCACUUUAGUUUGGGCCCCCGAAACUAGGUGAGCUACUCCAAGACAGCCUAUCAAUAGGGCAAACCCGUCUCUGUGGCAAAAGAGUGGGAAGAGCUUCGAGUAAAGGUGACAGACCUACCGAACCUAGUUAUAGCUGGUUGCCUGAGAAAUGGAUAGGAGUUCAGCCUCUAGGCUUCUUUAUUCGCUAAGGCUCCAUUCCGGCAUCCUCACCGAGAUUCUAAAGAAACCUAGAGAGUUAUUCAAAGGGGGUACAGCCCCUUUGAAACAAGACACAACUUUCCCAGGAGGGUAAAGAUCAUAAUUACUAAAGGUAAUCUAAUGCCUAAGUGGGCCUAAAAGCAGCCAUCCCUACAGAAAGCGUUACAGCUCAAGCAUUAAACCUCAACCACAUAUCCGGAUAACCCAAUCCUAGCCCCCUAACACUAUCAGGCCGUCUCAUGCAAACAUGAGAGCGCACAUGCUAAUAUGAGUAACAAGAGAGCACCCGCCUCUCUCCUCGCACACGUGUAAAUCGGAACGAACCCCCACCGAAACUUAACGGACCCAAACGAAGAGGGUAAUGAACUUUAAACAAAGAACUGGAAAACCAUUCAACAAACAACCGUUAACCCCACACUGGUGUGCCCCCGGGGAAAGACUAAAAGAAAAAGAAGGAACUCGGCAAACCUUAUCAAGCCUCGACUGUUUACCAAAAACAUCGCCUUUUGCAAAAACAAAGAAUAAAAGGUCGAGCCUGCCCAGUGACUAUAUGUUCAACGGCCGCGGUAUUUUAACCGUGCAAAGGUAGCGCAAUCACUUGUCUUUUAAAUGAAGACCUGUAUGAAUGGUAUUACGAGGGCUUAACUGUCUCCUUUUUCAAGUCAGUGAAAUUGAUCUCCCCGUGCAGAAGCGGGGAUAAAACCAUAAGACGAGAAGACCCUAUGGAGCUUUAAGACACUGAGCCAUAUCAAGUUAAACACCCCCAAACAAGGGACUAAACUUAUUGAAAUCAUUGGCCGUAUGUCUUCGGUUGGGGCGACCAUGGGGAAACAAAAAACCCCCACGUGGAAUGGGAGCACAACUACUCCUACAGUCAAGAGCCACCACUCUAACAAACAGAAUUUCUGACCAAUAACUGAUCCGGCAACGCCGAUCAACGGACCAAGUUACCCUAGGGAUAACAGCGCAAUCCCCUUUUAGAGCCCCUAUCGACAAGGGGGUUUACGACCUCGAUGUUGGAUCAGGACAUCCCAAUGGUGCAGCCGCUAUUGAAGGUUCGUUUGUUCAACGAUUAAAGUCCUACGUGAUCUGAGUUCAGACCGGAGAAAUCCAGGUCAGUUUCUAUCUAUGAUAUGUUCUUUUCUAGUACGAAAGGACCGAAAAGAAGAGGCCAAUGCUCAAAGCACGCCUCACCUCCCCCUAUUGAAAGCAACUAAAAUAGGCAGAAGGGCAUACCCCUUCAUGCCUAGAUAGCGGCAU